AGGGGGAGCCGGACGCUCUGAACAGGCAUCAAGUCAAUGUUUUCCACUGUAGACCUGACACAAGAAAUUGACCAGUGCCCUCAGAAUGUGUGUCCUACAAUAGUGCCAGUGUGGCAGAGCCAUUGGGAGCUAAGGUCAGGGCAAAUUCAUCCAUGCCUUUUCAGCUGGUUUUUGGAGGGAAUCCAUGCCCCUGCAGACAAAGGGAUGCCUCAAUCACAGGUUAUCCUGAUCUGACAGUCCACCCAUAGCUCUUCCUAGUGGAGGAUCUUCGAAUGACAAUCAGCGUCGGGUAACCAUGACUGAAUUCUCACUCCUCCUUUUGAGAGAACAAAGGCUUCAAAGACCUUUUCAGCACCUUUGGUUUUUUUGCUAGUUUCCUGACAAGGUCAUGGGAACGUUUGGGAUUCUACCACUACAACUUUACAUUCCUGCUCAUAGUGGACUAUUAUUCUAGGACAUAUAAUCACAUGGAAUUUCCUGGCUCCACAGACUGGACGUGGAAGAAACCAGCCUGAAAUGUUGGAUCGUCAUGGCGGAGUGGGCAAGUUGCCAUGGGAGAUGGGCUGGAUAAUCCUGCAACAACUGACCUUGAUGCCAAAUGCUGGGGCAAGGCUUGCACUCACGCACUAGUACUACGUGGCUGACAAGAAAUAAUCAAAUGAAACAAAUAGCAGCCCUAUGGCCAUCACCCUUCAUAGCACCUCCCUUCCCACAUACACAUUCUGCAGCGAUUGCAACACAGUCAGCCAGGUGGCCCUGACAGAAUAUUGAGACUGCUAAUCUGGUCCAAUCAGGGUGCACCUUGUGUCUUUCACUGUGUCUUACAUCUGCACACACACAACAUAGGUGCUGGGGAAAAAAUAAGCACGACCGAAAUUAAGUGGUAGUGUGGGGGUAAAUAAAAAAAACAAAGAAAAAAAUAAACAGGAAAGUUGUGCUCCUGGGCCUGGCCAAACUGGCCAUAAACAGGUCCAGGCAGCGGGCCGUGGAGGGGGUCGUUAGGGCCGACUGCCUGCUCCUCUUCUGCGGUUACGUUAGAGCCCGGGUGUCCUUGGAGAAGGAGCACGCGGUGUCCACCAACACUCUGGAGUUGUUCAGGGAGAGGUGGGCUCCGCAGGGAGUGGAGUGCAUCAUUUCCCCCUCCAAUUCUAUUUUGAUUUAGUCCCUGCCCUCCCCUUCACUGUUUGAUCACACAGCAUUGCCCUUUGGUGUGAAGGGCACUGCUUGUCACUGGCCACUCGGGUCUUUCCUUUCU